GAGGCACUAGUAAAACCAUUACCCUGUCUUGUCAAGACAAAAUUGUGGGUGAGACCCCCACGUGCUUUA
rnacentral:tRNA from 1 species